rnacentral:misc_RNA from 1 species
GUAUGCUAGUUAAGGAGCAUCUCAAGCUUCCCCUCUCACAAGCACAGGCAUUUGUGGAUAUACCAUGCAGCUUAGGUUGUUACACUAAUAUAUUUGGUAUAGGAGUUAGUUUCAUUUUAUUAGAAUUGCAAAAUAUUGCUAUUUAAAUGCUUAUUAGUUUACUAGACAGAAUUUGGAACAUAGAAUAGUUUUUAAGACAUUAAUAUAUAUAACAAUUGAAUUUUAUUUUAUUUGGAUCGCAAAAAUAUUUAACCUUUUUUUUCUAUGGUUAUUAAUAUGUUGUAGAUUGGUAAUUUUGAUAAG